UUUAUUGAAGAUUUUUGUAGCAAUUUGCAGACUUUUAUAUUUUUACUGCAGGCUAUUGUUUAAAUAGACCUGGCAUCACUGAUGCUGAAAUGAUUCAUUCAUAUACCUGUCAAAAAUAUAGAGCAUUGUGUGAAAAUGUAUAACCUCACUUUUCUGACAGUUCGGUGUGCUUGUUUACCUAAGAUUUGUUUACACGGAAUUUUAAAAUUUACAUUACUUGAAUACUUUCGAUGCUCUUUGAAAGAAUAUCAACUCAAGAGGGAUGAGGAUUGGAACAAUGGUAACCUGGUUCAUACAUUGACCAAUCGGCGCUGGAUGUAAAACCCGGUGGCAUAUGCUGAAUCGAAAGAUCAAGCAUUGGGCUAUAAAACGAUUGCUUUCUGGAUGAUGGAUAAGGAUUUGUACACAUUUGUGGUGAAGUUUACCUGAGCUUUGUAGGUAACGAAUUCGGUCGAUGAUAAGUUGUUGAAAUGAUUUUGAUCGUUCAAUGCCCAUAUCGAAGAACGUUUCCAUUGGUCAGAAUGCCUACCAGCGUAUGAUAGCUGCAAACAUGAGGACAACAAGGUUAUCGCUUUCGAAUGGAACAAUAAUUUAUUAUUCGGUUUCAAGUUCCAUUACAGUAAAAGUUUCGUCGAUUAUCGCAUUGUCGUUGAUUUAGCCGGAAAAUGCAAAAUAGCGCUCGGCACUGACGACAAGGAGUAAGAAGGAUUUGAUUGGAGUGAUAAUAAUGCAGAGCAUUAUAUAUUCUGGUAGAAUAUCAGUGAGGAGAAAUUAUAUGUAAAUUUAUAUUAUAUCCCGAGUUGCAUUAAUUUUGGCACCGCAAUAAAGCUAUCUGCAACUGCUGUCUUGUUCAAAUUGGCACGAAAUAACUAGGCAGCGAAUGAUAGAUUUCAUAGUCAAUUUAUUUACUUUUUCUGAAGGAUAAGUAAUUAGUAUGUUGUGAAUAUAUGUGUCGCCGGUGCCGUGUGUUAUGGUGGUACCGGACGGAACCGUUGGUCAGAUCUGUCUUAACGCUCUCUACUUAGCGCAGGAUACGCGAAACCGCUGCUAGCUUUCGAAAGAAAAUUCCUAGCUGCUGCUACUCUAUCAGUCUCUCUCUCUCUCUCUCUCUCUCUCUCUCUCUCUCUCUCUCUCUCUCUCUCUCUCUCUCUCGACUGAGGA